ACGCUGGCGGCGUGCUUAACACAUGCAAGUCGAGCGGUAAGGCCUUUCGGGGUACACGAGCGGCGAACGGGUGAGUAACACGUGGGUGAUCUGCCCUGCACUUCGGGAUAAGCCUGGGAAACUGGGUCUAAUACCGGAUAUGACCUCCUAUCGCAUGGUGGGUGGUGGAAAGAUUUAUCGGUGCAGGAUGGGCCCGCGGCCUAUCAGCUUGUUGGUGGGGUAAUGGCCUACCAAGGCGACGACGGGUAGCCGACCUGAGAGGGUGACCGGCCACACUGGGACUGAGACACGGCCCAGACUCCUACGGGAGGCAGCAGUGGGGAAUAUUGCACAAUGGGCGAAAGCCUGAUCCAGCCAUGCCGCGUGUGUGAAGAAGGUCUUCGGAUUGUAAAGCACUUUAAGUUGGGAGGAAGGGCAUUAACCUAAUACGUUAGUGUUUUGACGUUACCGACAGAAUAAGCACCGGCUAACUCUGUGCCAGCAGCCGCGGUAAUACAGAGGGUGCAAGCGUUAAUCGGAAUUACUGGGCGUAAAGCGCGCGUAGGUGGUUUGUUAAGUUGGAUGUGAAAUCCCCGGGCUCAACCUGGGAACUGCAUUCAAACUGACUGACUAGAGUAUGGUAGAGGGUGGUGGAAUUUCCUGUGUAGC
rnacentral:rRNA from 1 species